UACAUGGGGUGCAAACGUUGCUCGGAAUUAUUGGGCGUAAAGAGCUCGUAGGCGGUCUGUCGCGUCGGCUGUGAAAACUCGGGGCUCAACCCCGAGCCUGCAGUCGAUACGGGCAGACUAGAGUGCUGUAGGGGAGACUGGAAUUCCUGGUGUAGCGGUGAAAUGCGCAGAUAUCAGGAGGAACACCGGUGGCGAAGGCGGGUCUCUGGGCAGUAACUGACGCUGAGGAGCGAAAGCGUGGGGAGCGAACAGG
rnacentral:rRNA from 1 species